ACUUGAUGGUAAGGGCAUUUACGUAGGAGAUCCAUAAAGCAUUCCCAAGUCUCAAAAAAUUGUUCCCCAUCUAUUUGUGAGAAAUUGGUGAUUGCCUUCCUCAGCAAGU